GGUUAAGCGACUAAGCGUACACGGUGGAUGCCCUGGCAGUCAGAGGCGAUGAAGGACGUGCUAAUCUGCGAUAAGCGUCGGUAAGGUGAUAUGAACCGUUAUAACCGGCGAUUUCCGAAUGGGGAAACCCAGUGUGUUUCGACACACUAUCAUUAACUGAAUCCAUAGGUUAAUGAGGCGAACCGGGGGAACUGAAACAUCUAAGUACCCCGAGGAAAAGAAAUCAACCGAGAUUCCCCCAGUAGCGGCGAGCGAACGGGGAGGAGCCCAGAGCCUGAAUCAGUGUGUGUGUUAGUGGAAGCGUCUGGAAAGGCGCGCGAUACAGGGUGACAGCCCCGUACACAAAAAUGCACAUGCUGUGAGCUCGAUGAGUAGGGCGGGACACGUGGUAUCCUGUCUGAAUAUGGGGGGACCAUCCUCCAAGGCUAAAUACUCCUGACUGACCGAUAGUGAACCAGUACCGUGAGGGAAAGGCGAAAAGAACCCCGGCGAGGGGAGUGAAAAAGAACCUGAAACCGUGUACGUACAAGCAGUGGGAGCCUCUUUUAUGGGGUGACUGCGUACCUUUUGUAUAAUGGGUCAGCGACUUAUAUUCUGUAGCAAGGUUAACCGAAUAGGGGAGCCGAAGGGAAACCGAGUCUUAACUGGGCGUUAAGUUGCAGGGUAUAGACCCGAAACCCGGUGAUCUAGCCAUGGGCAGGUUGAAGGUUGGGUAACACUAACUGGAGGACCGAACCGACUAAUGUUGAAAAAUUAGCGGAUGACUUGUGGCUGGGGGUGAAAGGCCAAUCAAACCGGGAGAUAGCUGGUUCUCCCCGAAAGCUAUUUAGGUAGCGCCUCGUGAAUUCAUCUCCGGGGGUAGAGCACUGUUUCGGCAAGGGGGUCAUCCCGACUUACCAACCCGAUGCAAACUGCGAAUACCGGAGAAUGUUAUCACGGGAGACACACGGCGGGUGCUAACGUCCGUCGUGAAGAGGGAAACAACCCAGACCGCCAGCUAAGGUCCCAAAGUCAUGGUUAAGUGGGAAACGAUGUGGGAAGGCCCAGACAGCCAGGAUGUUGGCUUAGAAGCAGCCAUCAUUUAAAGAAAGCGUAAUAGCUCACUGGUCGAGUCGGCCUGCGCGGAAGAUGUAACGGGGCUAAACCAUGCACCGAAGCUGCGGCAGCGACACUAUGUGUUGUUGGGUAGGGGAGCGUUCUGUAAGCCUGUGAAGGUGUGCUGUGAGGCAUGCUGGAGGUAUCAGAAGUGCGAAUGCUGACAUAAGUAACGAUAAAGCGGGUGAAAAGCCCGCUCGCCGGAAGACCAAGGGUUCCUGUCCAACGUUAAUCGGGGCAGGGUGAGUCGACCCCUAAGGCGAGGCCGAAAGGCGUAGUCGAUGGGAAACAGGUUAAUAUUCCUGUACUUGGUGUUACUGCGAAGGGGGGACGGAGAAGGCUAUGUUGGCCGGGCGACGGUUGUCCCGGUUUAAGCGUGUAGGCUGGUUUUCCAGGCAAAUCCGGAAAAUCAAGGCUGAGGCGUGAUGACGAGGCACUACGGUGCUGAAGCAACAAAUGCCCUGCUUCCAGGAAAAGCCUCUAAGCAUCAGGUAACAUCAAAUCGUACCCCAAACCGACACAGGUGGUCAGGUAGAGAAUACCAAGGCGCUUGAGAGAACUCGGGUGAAGGAACUAGGCAAAAUGGUGCCGUAACUUCGGGAGAAGGCACGCUGAUAUGUAGGUGAAGUCCCUCGCGGAUGGAGCUGAAAUCAGUCGAAGAUACCAGCUGGCUGCAACUGUUUAUUAAAAACACAGCACUGUGCAAACACGAAAGUGGACGUAUACGGUGUGACGCCUGCCCGGUGCCGGAAGGUUAAUUGAUGGGGUCAGCGCAAGCGAAGCUCUUGAUCGAAGCCCCGGUAAACGGCGGCCGUAACUAUAACGGUCCUAAGGUAGCGAAAUUCCUUGUCGGGUAAGUUCCGACCUGCACGAAUGGCGUAAUGAUGGCCAGGCUGUCUCCACCCGAGACUCAGUGAAAUUGAACUCGCUGUGAAGAUGCAGUGUACCCGCGGCAAGACGGAAAGACCCCGUGAACCUUUACUAUAGCUUGACACUGAACAUUGAGCCUUGAUGUGUAGGAUAGGUGGGAGGCUUAGAAGUGUGGACGCCAGUCUGCAUGGAGCCGACCUUGAAAUACCACCCUUUAAUGUUUGAUGUUCUAACGUUGACCCGUGAUCCGGGUUGCGGACAGUGUCUGGUGGGUAGUUUGACUGGGGCGGUCUCCUCCUAAAGAGUAACGGAGGAGCACGAAGGUUGGCUAAUCCUGGUCGGACAUCAGGAGGUUAGUGCAAUGGCAUAAGCCAGCUUGACUGCGAGCGUGACGGCGCGAGCAGGUGCGAAAGCAGGUCAUAGUGAUCCGGUGGUUCUGAAUGGAAGGGCCAUCGCUCAACGGAUAAAAGGUACUCCGGGGAUAACAGGCUGAUACCGCCCAAGAGUUCAUAUCGACGGCGGUGUUUGGCACCUCGAUGUCGGCUCAUCACAUCCUGGGGCUGAAGUAGGUCCCAAGGGUAUGGCUGUUCGCCAUUUAAAGUGGUACGCGAGCUGGGUUUAGAACGUCGUGAGACAGUUCGGUCCCUAUCUGCCGUGGGCGCUGGAGAACUGAGGGGGGCUGCUCCUAGUACGAGAGGACCGGAGUGGACGCAUCACUGGUGUUCGGGUUGUCAUGCCAAUGGCACUGCCCGGUAGCUAAAUGCGGAAGAGAUAAGUGCUGAAAGCAUCUAAGCACGAAACUUGCCCCGAGAUGAGUUCUCCCUGACUCCUUGAGAGUCCUGAAGGAACGUUGAAGACGACGACGUUGAUAGGCCGGGUGUGUAAGCGCAGCGAUGCGUUGAGCUAACCGGUACUAAUGAACCGUGAGGCUUAACCUU
rnacentral:rRNA from 1 species